rnacentral:rRNA from 1 species
UACGGAGGAUGCAAGCGUUAUCCGGAAUGAUUGGGCGUAAAGCGUCCGCAGGUGGCUGUGUAAGUCUGCUGUUAAAUAGUGAGGCUCAACCUCAUAAAGGCAGUGGAAACUACACGGCUAGAGUGCGUUCGGGGCAGAGGGAAUUCCUGGUGUAGCGGUGAAAUGCGUAGAGAUCAGGAAGAACACCGGUGGCGAAAGCGCUCUGCUAGGCCGCAACUGACACUGAGGCGCGAAAGCGUGGGGAGCGAACAGG